GGCACAAUUGGGGUGCCUCACCGACCCCCCUCUCUCAGAUCCACCAGACCAUCCCGAUCUCUUCCAGUAACCCUAACCCUCCUUCCCCAUCGUCUCCUUCCAAGUCCGCUCUCCGAUGUCGAAGCUCUUCGUGUUCGAAGCUCUGCUCCCGCUCGGCAUCAUCGCUGGGAUGCUCUGCAUCGCCGGCAACAUCCAGUACCACGUCCACAAAUACGCUCACGGCCGGCCGAAGCACAUCGGGAAUGAUGUCUGGGAUGUGGCGAUGGAGAGGCGGGACAAGAAGCUCGUCGAGAAGUACUACCCUGCUGAGGCGAAUUAGAUGCUGAAUGCUAUUUGAUCGAUCGAAUGGUUGUUUUUAGUGGGGAAUAAUGUGCUUUUGAGAAGUCGGGGAGUGCAUCCUGUUUAUGUGCAUUUUAAGACAGGCAGAAUUGUAUGCUUCUGUGCUGUGGACAAUUUGAUUUGAAUGUUUUCUUUUAUAUUUGUACGUUGAAUCAGUCUCUGAUGUGGCUAUAAGAUAAUGUUUGUUGGAUUGUGCUCUUGUUCUUUGUGGAUCCUAGUAUGUCAGUCG
rnacentral:misc_RNA from 1 species